UGACCUCGAAUCAGGUAGA
rnacentral:rRNA from 1 species